UAACCGUGCAAAGGUAGCAUAAUCAAUUGUCCUUUAAAUUGGGACUAGUAUGAACGGCACCACGAGGGUUUAACUGUCUCCCCCCUUUAAUCAAUGAAAUUAACCUUCCCGUGAAGAAACGGAAAUAAAAAUAUAAGACGAAAAGACCCUAUGGAGCUUCAAACUUAUUAUCACUUAUUUUACAAUACAACAACUAAUAUGAUAAGAAUGCUCUUUAAUAGUUUUUGGUUGGGGCGACCCUGGAGAAAAAUAAAUCCUCCAGAUUGAAAACAAUAACCCUUAUAUAAGAACCACAAUUCAAGUAAACAAAAAUCUGACAAAACUGAUCCAGAUUUAACUGAUCAAUGAACCAAGUUACCCUAGGGAUAACAGCGCAAUCCAUUUUAAGAGCCCAUAUCGACAAAUGGGUUUACGACCUCGAUGUUGGAUCAAGGUAUCCUAGCAGCGCAGCCGUUGCUAAUGGUUCGUUUGUUCAACGAUUAAAACCUUACGUGAUCUGAGU
rnacentral:rRNA from 1 species